rnacentral:rRNA from 1 species
GAUGAACGCUGGCGGCGUGCCUAAUACAUGCAAGUCGAGCGAACAGACGGGGAGCUUGCUCCUCUGACGUUAGCGGCGGACGGGUGAGUAACACGUGGAUAACCUACCUAUAAGACUGGGAUAACUUCGGGAAACCGGAGCUAAUACCGGAUAAUAUAUUGAACCGCAUGGUUCAAUAGUGAAAGACGGUUUUGCUGUCACUUAUAGAUGGAUCCGCGCCGCAUUAACUAGUUGGUAAGGUAACGGCUUACCAAGGCGACGAUGCGUAGCCGACCUGAGAGGGUGAUCGGCCACACUGGAACGGAGACACGGUCCAGACUCCUACGGGAGGCAGCAGUAGGGAAUCUUCCGCAAUGGGCGAAAGCCUGACGGAGCAACGCCGCGUGAGUGAUGAAGGUCUUCGGAUCGUAAAACUCUGUUAUUAGGGAAGAACAAAUGUGUAAGUAACUAUGCACGUCUUGACGGUACCUAAUCAGAAAGCCACGGCUAACUACGUG